rnacentral:misc_RNA from 1 species
CAGAAGUUCCUGACUAUGUUCCCAGAUGGAACAGGAAAUAUAUUUUACCCAUCAGGUAGUCUGGCCAUUGCUAUAAGCUCUGUACAGAUAGGGCAGUUUAAUUAUGUGGUGCAUGCAGAGAUGGAGAAGUCCAGUGUACUGGCAGUGUUCGAACCCAACGGAUACGCUUCUUGUUAUCACCCUAAUGGAGUAGUCAGACUGUGCAUGGACCAGUUGGGAGGGAUUGAGCUGGACGACUCUGGAGCCAAGAGGAGGAAGUGGUUAUGGAAGGAUCAGGUCACUCAUGUACACGCCCCUCCAUUCCAACCAAUCCACUUCAGUCUGAAUCAAUACAUCGGGGUCAGGAUCCUCUCCCAGGAGAGAAUGGUCCUGGACUUCAGUUGUGGAGACAGAGGAAAGAGAUUCAAUGUGGGGUCAAGGCUCAAGCUAAACCAUGUUGAAAAGAUUCCACCAAAAGAAAUUGAUGAAAACCAUUUGUAUUUGGAGGAGCAGAAAAUCAGAGUAGAGAAAAUGCUUGACAAAGUAGCCACAUUGUUGAAAUUUCCCAAGUCUCCCAAGAUAGACAAAAUAUUACCUCCCCUUCAUGUGACCUCAAAAGCCCUGAAGACUGAACGCCUGAGGCAAGAGAGAGCCAAUCAGAUAGCAUCACAAGAAGCAAAGAAGACCAAGCAGGCUCCAAUCCCUGCCCUUAGUUAAAGGCUGUGCAUUUCAUUGUAUUCCAUAUCUGUGUUCAUUUGUGUUAUAAAUGGAUUGUAAGGAUAUAAGUUUUGGAAUUGAAGAAGUGAUUUUAUCUCUGUAUAUCAAGUCUGGUGGAAUAAGUGUUUUGUGUAGAACAUAUUUUUAUAUUCUUUGCAAGUUUGAAUGGCAAUAUAGUUAUAUGUAUACAUUGGUACUUAUACAUAGACUGAAGCACACACGCUGCCAAAUCUUGCUGCUUUUAUGUACUCUGCAGCAAUUAAUUGUAGUUUUUUUCUUCAAAUUAGUCAGCCUAUAGUUCACUGUGCUUUUGUGCUGUUCACGUUUUACGCUUGUACAUGUAGCUCAAUAUAGAUUUCGUCUCCUAGUCACAUAUGCUUUUUUUGUCUUUUUUCUUCAAUCCGUGAUCAUACAUCAAUAGAUAUUUUUUUCCGAUAUUUUGCACAUUUUUUUUGUACACAUCUGUAUAUGGAUGUAGUUCUCCUCUGUGAUAUUGACAUAUAUUUAUGGUUUGUUAUUUGUUACCCUUCAUAUCUAUUGUUCCCGUUUUAUAUUUUUUUUUGGUCUGAAAGGCUUCCGGAAAGAUGGUGUGAAUGGUCUUUGAAUACUAGUAUGUCUACUCCCUUUGUUGUUGUUAAAAAUACAGGUCACAUAUCAUUCUACACAUAGUAGGGAUUUGGUAUUUGUCACAAUGAUUAUUAUUUUAAUACAUGUACUUUACAUCAAUAAAUGGCUGAUUUAGGAUUCAUGUAUUACACUAUGCACAUACCUACUGCUGAACACCUCGCAUUAUCUUUGUGGAAUAUACUGCUGAAUUAGUUUUACGUAGACAAAUAUAUUUUUGGAUAAAUACAUUUAUGGAGCUGAUCAAAUAUUACACACAGUAUUAUAUUCCUAAUGCUGGUUGUGCUUUAUUAUGUCUGGAGAAUGUUUAUAAAGUCUUAGUACAAGUUAUUGAAAAGAGCUUAUUCUUUUUAUGGAUAUAUAUUUAGUUUAUUUGGUUAAGAAGUGUUUUUUUGCAUAUCAAAAUUUAAUGUAUAAACAUGAUUAAAGUCGUUGAAAUCC